UACGAAGGGGGCUAGCGUUGUUCGGAAUUACUGGGCGUAAAGCGCGCGCAGGCGGUUCCCCAAGUCAGUGGUGAAAGCCCGGAGCUCAACUCCGGAAUUGCCAUUGAAACUGUUGAACUCGAGGACGAGAGAGGUGAGUGGAAUUCCCAGUGUAGAGGUGAAAUUCGUAGAUAUUGGGAAGAACACCGGUGGCGAAGGCGGCUCACUGGCUCGUUUCUGACGCUCAGGCGCGACAGCGUGGGGAUCAAACAGG
rnacentral:rRNA from 1 species